rnacentral:misc_RNA from 1 species
GAUGAAGAACGUAGCGAAAUGCGUUACUUGGUGUGAAUUGCAGAAUCCCGUGAACCAUCGAGUCUUUGAACGCAAGUUGCGCCCGAAGCCAUUAGGCCGAGGGCACGCCUGCCUGGGCGUCACACGUCGUUGCCCCCCCAUCUACUCCUUCGGGAUUGCGGGGGGCGGAUGAUGGCCUCCCGUGCGCCUCGUCGCGCGGUUGGCAUAAAUGCCAAGUCCUCGGCGACGCACGCCACGACAAUCGGUGGUUGCGAAACCUCGGUUGCCCGUCGUGUGCGGUCGUCGCGCAUCGAGGGCUCGAAAAAAUUGCCGGGCUCCGGCUCGGCUUUCAACGCGACCCCAGGUCAGGCGGGGUUACCCGCUGAAUUUAAGCAUAUCAAUAAGCGGAGGA